rnacentral:lncRNA from 1 species
UUAAAUAUGGCGACUUGCUUGCGCUAAUUUCAUUUUUAUUUAUCUUCAGCAAAAUAUCUUGAUGUUUAAAAGAAAUACAGACGUUAAAAAGCUUGAUUCUUGCUUGUAUAAGGUAUGUGAAUUUUGCUAAUAAAGUGAUUUCUUUUUGGUUGUUAGCAAUUGCAACUAAUCACUAAAUUUCAUUUAUUUGUCAACAGGAAAACAACAGCCAUGAGCCAUUUUCAAUUUGAGUCCGCCAUCGAAGACUGUCUGGAAAACUUCUGUGCGCCUCUAACAAGGGUACAAACACCACGUUGGCAAAGGAAAAGAAACAACAGUACCUCUAGCAUACCGUUGUCUCCCUGCAAUGGCAACAGAUCGUUAAAAACGCCAUGUAAAACUCCAAAGAGAAAGAGCAAGACGCCAUUAAAGACACCUAAGUCAAGGAAGACACCUCAUAAAACGCCUGGUAAAACAACGCCGCAUGUUGAUCGCUUCAUACCAAACAGAACUAUAAUGGACAACGAUAAAAACUAUUUCCAAAUUGUGAAUGAAGUGGACACAGUCGAAAUAAAAGAAAAUGAGCUUAACCCUGAAGCUCUUGAAAAAGUUCAUUAUGAGAAAGCAGUGAAAGAUAAUUUAGAAGAAGAGUCUGAUUC